rnacentral:lncRNA from 1 species
UUCCUUCUCUACAUGUUCUUCUCUUUUUAUUUCUGUGUCACUCUGCUUUGAUACUUCUGUCCUGAAGUUCUGAUUGUUUUUCUCCAUGGGUCGUUCUUCUUUUAACCAAGGUAGAUGAUGAUGGCAUUUCACCAGGUAGGUUCUGUCAUCAGCCUACUUUUUUCCUCACUUUAUAUAAGCUUCUGCCCAAUCUAAUCUUUUAUCUUCUGUCUUCAGCCUACUUUUUCCUUUACUUUACAUAAGCUUCUGUCCAAUCUAAUCUUUUAUCGUCCAAAUAAUAAUGAGUAUUAAGUUUACGUCUCAAGUCCCAUUUGAUUAUAUUUGCCUGACCUU